AUGCAUUGAUAGAAACGCACACACACACACUGACACACACAUUCUAGUAGCAGCCACAUUUUCACAGCCUGCUCUUCAGACUGACAGCAGCAAACGGAGUUGAGAGCCAGCACUGCAGAGCAACCGAGGAUUGGAAACAAGGGAGGCAUCUACAGGAAAGGGAAGGAGACUUUGACAGGAUUUGCCCUUUUUUAUUUUUUGCCUCUUUGCUCUCUGGGAGCCAUUGAAGGAAUCUUCUCUAUACUCUUUUAAACUGAACUAAAGGACCUGCACCCAGUUAUGGCAGUGGGACAUGGGAACAUGGCCUCCCUCUUAUCUGGCUGGACUACCCUCCUCUGGGUGCUGUUGACCCUUUCAAACCAGGUCUGGGGCUUCAACCUGGAUACGACCCACACUCUGCAUAAGUUGGGAGACCAUGGUACAUUUUUUGGUUUCUCUCUAGCACUUCACCAACAGAUUACCCCAGAGCCUCAGAGCUGGAUCCUGGUGGGGGCGCCACAGGCAGCUGGACUAGGCUCCUUGCGUGGCAGUCGACCAGGAGCCCUGUUCAGGUGUCCAAUCACACCAGAGGAGUACGACUGUGAGAGGGUGGAUAUAGAUGGAGAUGUGAGCCUGGACAGAGAGAGCAAAGACAACCAGUGGUUGGGAGUUACUGUCAAAAGUCAGGGGAUUGGAGGGAAGGUGGUGACUUGUGCUCACCUGUAUGAGCUCAGGCAACGUGUAAGUCAACCUUCAGAGACCCGGGACCCCAUUGGACGCUGCUACGUCCUGAGUGAGGACCUGACAGAGAGAGAUGACCUGGAUGGAGGGGAGUGGAAGUUCUGCGAGGGUCGGCCACAGGGACACGAGCAGUUUGGUUUCUGCCAGCAGGGCCUGUCUGUCAGUUUCACCCCAGACAACAACUUCAUUCUGUUUGGGGCUCCUGGGACAUACAACUGGAAAGGUGAGAUGCGGGUCCAGCUCCUAAACCAGACUCUGCUUGACCUCGGUUUCUAUGACGAUGGACCAUACGAGGUGGCAGAUCAGAAACAACUUAAUGCUCAGCUCAUCCCUCUGCCUUACCACAGUUACCUGGGGUUUUCUGUGGACUCUGCCUUAGGGAUAAUGGCUCUCGGAGAGCUGACCUUUGUGGCGGGUGCACCCCGGGCCAAUCAUACAGGGGCAGUGGUGCUUCUGAAGAAGGACAAUGUCUACCGGCUGGUGCCUCAGCACAUUUUCUGGGGGGAGGAGCUGGCGUCUUCAUUUGGCUACUCUGUAACUACAACGGAUCUAAACAGGGACGGCUGGACGGACAUUAUUGUUGGAGCUCCUAACUUUUUCGACCGUAAGGCAGAGAUCGGUGGAGCUGUUUAUGUUUACUUGAACCCUUUUGGUCACUGGGAAGAUCACGCCCGCCCAAUUCGCCUCAAUGGGACGUACGACUCCAUGUUUGGGAUGACGGUCAGUAGUAUUGGCGAUCUGGACCAAGAUGGAUACGGAGAUAUUGCUGUUGGUGCACCAUUUGAUGGAGAUGGCAAAGUUUUCAUCUACAGAGGAUCAGGUUCUGGAAUUGAGACUAAACCUGCUCAGGUAUUGGACGGUCGUGACUUUGAUGUCAGACGCUUUGGAUACUCCAUCUCAGGCGGUCUGGAUGUUGACAAUAACCACUAUCCAGACAUAGCAGUAGGCUCUCUUAACGAUUCCGUGGUUCUCUUCAGGUCUCGUCCUGUCAUUCACGUGAACAGAGAAGUAUCAAUUGAUCCAUAUCACAUUGAUCUGGAGCAGCACAACUGCAAGGGCAGACAGGGAGUGUGUGUGGAGGUCAAGGCCUGCUUCAUCUUCACAGCUCACCCACAACACUACUCCCCACACAUUACCCUGGUGGUGCACUUUGAAGCCGACACAGAGCGCAGGAAGUUGGGCCUCCCGCACAGAGUUAAUUUCCUGGGCCGCAGUUCACUAGAACCCGAGUAUACUCAGACAGAAGAAGUGGAGCUUCAUCGGCAGCUUCACCCCGCGUGCACCACUGCCGUCUUCCAGCUCCAUGAGAACAUCAGGGACAAACUGCGUCCCAUUUCAUUGGCAGUAACCCAUACUAUCAAGUCUGUGCCACCACGCAGACACUCAGGUGCCAAACGUCUGGAGAAGCUGGCGCCUGUGCUGAAUGUUUCACCUUCUAAUACGCUGCACUCUGAGGUGAACUUCCUGCGUCAAGGAUGUGGCGUAGACAAAAUCUGCCAGAGCAACCUGCAGCUGAGCUACCAAUUUGGAACACGACCCCUGACCUCUGAUCUCUUCACUCCUUUGCCAAAAGAUGAGGACGACGUGCAGGUGUUUUCCCUGUCAGACCAGCGACUGGUGGUACUGGAGAUUACUGUCACCAACAUGCCCUCUGACCCUCUUCUCCCCGACGAGGACGGGGAUGACGCUCACGCUGCUCAGUUGAAUAUUACCCUUCCAAACACGCUGUCAUAUGCUGGUUCCAGGGUCCCAGCGCAGAUGAGAUGUCAAGCGAACCAGAAUGGCUCCCAAGUUGAAUGUGACCUCGGAAACCCCGUCAAGCGAAAUACUAAGCUGAAAUUCUCUAUUAACUUGAGCACAUCAAACAUCACCAUUGAGACCACAGAGUUGACGGCAGAUCUCUUAUUGACAACUAUCAGUGAGCAGCCUGACCUGGUGCCGGUCACUGCGUUUGCUAAGGUUGUGAUAGAGCUCCCUCUGUCUGUCAGUGGGCUCGCUCGGCCACACCAGCUGUUCUUCAGUGGGACAGUGAAGGGAGAGAGUGCCAUGACUAGUCUGGAGGACAUAGGCAGCCCUGUGGAUUUUGAGUUUGUGGUGGCUAAUCCAGGACAAGCCCUGCAGACACUCGGCUCCGCCUUUCUGAACAUCAUGUGGCCUUACGAGCUGGCCAAUGAGAAAUGGCUCCUGUAUCCCGCAAGCCUGAGGUUUGAGGGUCACCCUGACACACACUGCACUCCCACAGAGGCCUUGAAUCCUUUAAAGCUACAGAGCUCAUCGCAGUCUGGCGGGAUUGUGAGAACAAGGCGCUCACACUCAGAAGACGAAGGUCAAGUGAUGACAAAAGGCAGCGUGGGACGAACCACUCCAGCUGUGGCAGCGUCAGAGAGACGCAAGUCGCUCAAACUGGAUUGUCUCUUGGGAUCAGCACGUUGUGUCCUCUUCCAGUGUCCCCUGCACAGCUUCUCUGGUCAGGCUGUCCUCAAGGUUCAUGCCAGACUGUGGAACAGCAGUUUCAUAGAGGAGUUCCCUGCUGUUAGUGCUCUGGAGCUGCUGGUCAGAGCCAACAUCACUGUCAAGUCCAGCAUCAAGCACUUGGUCCUCAAGGAUGCUGCUGCACAGGUUCCUGUCAUGAUCUACCCUGAACCUGGUUUGGCUGACCAGUACCGGAUCCCGUGGUGGAUCAUCCUCAUAGCCGUAUUGGCAGGCAUCCUGCUGCUGACUCUGCUCAUCUGCAUACUGUGGAAGUGUGGGUUCUUCAAACGCAGUGAGCGGCGCCCACACUAUGAGACGGAGUACUACCGUGCCCAUUUGGGGGUCCAACCCUCGGAGGCGGAGAAGCAGGCAUCAGAACUAUAAUAGAAAUGAUUAUUUUACUCUGGCCUGUUCUCCCCUCCUCUCCCUCAAAGCGUGUGGCUUCUUCCAGCGGGCCCACUACAAAGACAAACUGCCUCAGUACCACGCCGUGAAGAUUCCCCGCGAGGACAGGCCACAGUUCCAGACUGAGAAGUCCGGAGUUGUCCAUAAAAAGGAAUGGGCCACACACUGGAGCGAUGGGACCUCGUAACUCUCCUUCAAGCACUGACUGACUGAAUUUAUUAAAAUCAACAUGUGUGGCACUCAUUUUGUCUUUGCAUUGGAACUGAUGGACUAAAAAAAAAAAGGUGCACAUUGACUGAGAUCAUGAAAAUCUUGUGCACACUGUACUGCAUCAGUACAUACAUACAUACACUGGUGGCCUGUUACACUGGAUCUGUGUCCUUCCAUACUGCAGCCCCACUGGUGGAUAGUCUCUUUAUACUGUGCAUCUUUAUCAGUGCUUCACAGCAAAUACCAUGUCACCACUCAAGUGGUUUAAAGUAUUUCACAACCUGCACAGGGAGCACUGAUGCUCAUAGUCUGGCACAACAAAGGAGAACCGAGAAAUCACAACUCAAAGACAUGCAUGAAUGCACAGAACCUACAGUACAAUAUUAGAUGCGUUCAUACACACUGGACAUUGAUGAUGAAGAAGCCACUGCCCACUACAUUUUUGCCUUAACUACUGUAUAUUGAUAUCAUGUUAUUGGGAAUUUCUUUUAGUUUUAGCACGGCAAGAAUACAACGAGAAUAUUGUGUCAGAAUGUUGCAGAGCACUGAAUGUGUAUUUUUUUGGGGCUUGCAGAUGAAAAAGACUUAAUUAGUUAACCUGAUGGUUUAAUGUAUUUCCUUGUUCCAGGAAAAUAAAAGCGACUAAAUGAGGAGCCUCUUCGGAUUAGAUAUUGUGCAUUUUUUUUUGGUAAUAUGUCAAUCAGACGUACUGUACAUCGGUCGUCAAUUGUCUAAGCAAACUUGAUUCAACAAGGAAAUCAUAAUCGAGCGUAUAAUAGCAAUGGCUGUAGCACUGUUUUUGCAUGCAAACCAAAUGUGUCAGACGAGUGAAGCAAUAUUAAACAUGUGCUCAGUUUAAACAUUGAUUUUCUAAUGGGUAUCCCAGCUAAUAAAGGCACUAAUUUCCCCCCAAUGUUUACAAUUAUGCUCAAAUUACACUACUGUGUAUGACUGAAUUUACCUCGCAAGGUCCUCAAGUGAAGCAAUUAUUUUUUUUUGUGUCAUCAGGUAACAUUUUGACAUUUGUACAAAUGCUUUUUAGUUGAAGUGUAUUAAACCUGCUUGAAGCAGUGAUUCUGACUGA